rnacentral:rRNA from 1 species
GGGUCAUCCCGACUUACCAAACCGAUGCAAACUCCGAAUACCUAUGAGUACUAUCCGGGAGACAGACUGCGGGUGCUAACGUCCGUAGUCAAGAGGAAAACAAUCCAGACCGCCAGCUAAGGCCCCAAAAUCAUAGUUAAGUGGGAAACGAUGUGGGAAGGCAUAGACAGCUAGGAGGUUGGCUUAGAAGCAGCCACCCUUUAAAGAAAGCGUAAUAGC